ncrna:unclassified sequences Mu-gpT-DE RNA
UCCUGACAACCACAUUGGGUGGUUGACACUAGCCACGACAGGAGUUUGAAAUG